rnacentral:rRNA from 1 species
AUACGGGGGGUGCAAGCGUUAAUCGGAAUUACUGGGCAUAAAGCGCGCGUAGGCGGUUUGCUCAGUCGGAUGUGAAAGCCCAGGGCUCAACCUUGGAACUGCAUACGAUACUGGCAAACUAGAGUGUGAGAGAGGAUAGUGGAAUUUCCGGUGUAGCGGUGAAAUGCGUAGAUAUCGGAAGGAACAUCAGUGGCGAAGGCGACUGUCUGGCUCAACACUGACGCUGAGGUGCGAAAGCGUGGGUAGCAAACAGGAUUAGAAACCCUAGUAGUCC